rnacentral:rRNA from 1 species
UACGUAGGUGGCAAGCGUUGUCCGGAAUCACUGGGCGUAAAGCGCGCGCAGGCGGCGAUCUACGUCUGGGGUGAAAGCCCGGAGCUCAACUCCGGGACUGCCUUGGAUACGGGAUCGCUUGAGGAUUGGAGAGGCAAGGGGAAUUCCACGUGUAGCGGUGAAAUGCGUAGAGAUGUGGAGGAACACCGGUGGCGAAGGCGGGUCUCUGGGCAACAACUGACGCUGAGGAGCGAAAGCGUGGGGAGCGAACAGG